GGACUACCAGGGUUUCUAAUCCUGUUUGCUCCCCACGCUUUCGUGCCUCAGUGUCAGUGCUGGUCCAGGUAGCCGCCUUCGCCACUGGUGUUCCUCCCGAUCUCUACGCAUUUCACCGCUACACCGGGAAUUCCACUACCCUCUACCGCACUCUAGCUUGCCAGUAUCCAUUGCCAUUCCCAGGUUGAGCCCGGGGCUUUCACAACAGACUUAACAAACCACCUACGCACGCUUUACGCCCAGUAAUUCCGAGUAACGCUUGCACCCUUCGUAUUACCGCGGCUGCUGGCAC
rnacentral:rRNA from 2 species